ensembl:lncRNA
UUUUUUUUUGCUUUUUAGGGCUGCACCUGCCACAUGCAGAGGCUGGCAGGUGUAGCUCUGAUUCAACCCCUAGCCUGGGAACCUCCAUAUGCCACCAGUGCAACCUUAAAUAGACGAAAGCAAUAAUAAUAAUAAAAUAAAAUACCAAACAAAUGAAUAAAAUACUUAAUAGCCACCUUGGUACUAGUGAUAAAAUGUAAUUAAGUACUAAGAAGAAAAUAUUAAAAGCAAUCUAAAAGUACCAAGAGUAUUGUAUAUAAAUCAUUUAGGGCACCAAAAACUGAAUUUAAAAAACAAUCUUUCAAAGCCAGAAAUAGUCACACAAUAUUCAGAGGAAUCUCACAGCUAAAAGGAAGACCUAGUUCUAGUCUGAAGAAGAUGGGAGGCAGUGGCUGAAUUUAACUCCUCUGGGUCAAAUAUGAUCAUUCUCCUUUGCCUGGCAAAUGAGCCUGAUCACUGUUGAUAAAUAAUCCAGUUUAGAGCCCAGGCCAAUUCUAGUUGUAAAUUGUUUGCAGACUAUCUUUAAAAGGACAGUCUAAAAGAAGAGCUAGAAAUCAAACCUGAUUCUUGGACUGCAGACUUCCUGCUGCAUUUCCCACCACUUUAAGUAACAUUUUGUAGAAGCUGAUGAUAGAUAUGUAAAUAAGAAAAGGGAAGGGUAACUCUGGAACUUUAGCUGUGAUGAAGAACCAGUGAUAGCAGUAUUUAAAGCCUGACAAUAGACAAUCCACUUUAUGUCUCCACAAAUUUAAUCUGUUUUAGCCUGCUUUUCCUCCUGCUUUUCCUCCAAUCCACUUUAUAACUCCACAUAUUUAAUCUGUUUUAGCCCUCUUUUAGCCCACCAACAUACAAGAUAAAUUGUAUAGAACUUUUUUCUUCUUUUGCUCAGUUUGACCAAUGUUGUUUAUUAUCACAAAAGUACUAUAUGUCUUUUCUCAAUGUUUUGAUUUUUAUAAGUAUUUAUAGGUUUUAUGAUUUAAAUAACUCCAAAGACAAUAGAGUACAGUGAGUAGGAGGGUAGGCCCUUGGUCCAGUCCUGGCUCUGCCACCUAACUAGGUAAUGUGACCAAGCACGUGUUACUUCACUUUGCCUUGAUUUCCUCCUUUAUUUAGUGGGCACAAUGAGAACACACUGUUCUCUAAGGGAUUUUGAGGAUUAAAUACCUUAAAUAUACAAUUCCUUUUUUUUGGGGGGGGGGGUCUUUUAUCCUUUGUCUUUUUAGGGCCGCACCUGCAACAUAUGGAAUUUACCAGGCUAAGGAUCUAAUCGGAGCUGUAGCUGCUGGGCAUAGCCACAGCCACGCCAGAUCUGAACCGAGUCUGCGACCUACACCACAGCUCACAGCAACACCACUGAGCAAGGCCAGGGAUCAAACCCGCAACCUCAUGUUUCCUAGUUGGAUUCAUUUCCACUGCACCACAACGGGAACUCUGAUUAAAUGUACAAUUCUUAGAGUAGUGCUUGCCAUGUAUGAAUGCAUAAUAAUUUCAUGGAUGAGAAAAGUGCAUUAUGGAAAAAUGUUGGAAAUUAUAAAAUUGUUGAGAUACAUAACAACUUUUAUGUAAUGAUUAUUAUGGGGAAAAUGGAUUCUAAUUCUACUGAGUUCAAAAAUGAAUGUUUCAGGAGUUCCCUGAUGGUCUGGUGGUUAGGAUUUAGCACUUUCACCACUGUGGCACAGGUUCAGCCCCUGAUCUGGGAACUGAGAUACCACAUCAAGCCGCUGAAUGCCCCAGCUGGAAAAAAAAAAAAAAAA